rnacentral:rRNA from 1 species
UACGGAGGGUGCAAGCGUUGCUCGGAAUUAUUGGGCGUAAAGGGUAGGUAGGUGGUCUCAUUUGUCUGGGGUGAAAGCCUUGAGCUUAACUCAAGAAGUGCCCCAGAAACGGUGAGACUGGAGUCCUGGAGAGGGUCGUGGAAUUCCCGGUGUAGCGGUGAAAUGCGUAGAUAUCUGGAGGAACACCGGUGGCGAAGGCGGCAUCCUGGACCGGUAUUGACGCUGAGGAGCGAAAGCGUGGGGAGCGAACAGG